GACGAACGCUGGCGGCGUGCUUAACACAUGCGAGUCGAACGGAAAGGCCUGCUUUCCCUUGUGGAUUGCGGGUACUCGAGUGGCGAACGGGUGAGUAACACGUGAGUGAUCUGCCCCCAACUUGGGUAUAAGCCUGGGAAACUGGGUCUAAUUCCCGAUAGGACUGCAGGGUGGUGCCUGUGGUGGAAAACGAUUUUCUAGUGGUUGGGGAUGAGCUCGCGGCCUAUCAGCUUGUUGGUGGGGUAAUGGCCUACCAAGGCGGCGACGGGUAGCCGGCCUGGGAGGGUGGACGGCCACAUUGGGACUGAGAUACGGCCCAGACUCCUACGGGAGGCAGCAGUGGGGAAUAUUGCACAAGGGGCGGAAGCCUGAUGCAGCGACGCCGCGGGGGGGAUGACGGCCUUCGGGUUGUAAACUCCUUUCGACCGCGAGGAAGCCACCUGGUUGGAAGGGUGGUGACGGUAGUGGUAGAAGAAGCACCGGCUAACUACGUG
rnacentral:rRNA from 1 species